GACAAACUCGGAAAAUCUCACAGCUCCUCUUGGAGUCAUCCUUUUUCCAGGCUGAGGUCCCCGGGGGCCUGGCUCUUCCUGGCUGGACUCUGAAACUUCCAGAACCAGGACUGAAGCACUGUUCAGAAAGAAACAGAGGCAAAUGGAAGAUUUUACCUCUGGCAGUCUGCUGUGGAAUUGCUGUGGUAAGGUUGACAAGGAAGUAAUUUACCUCUUCACUGGAAUGCAUGGUCCUAAUUCCAGAACCAACCAAUAACCACUCCUGCGGGAAGAUACUAAUCAUCCCUUCCACUUGUUUUGCAAAUCAUCCAAAACCCCUACAACAGAACCAAGUGUUGGUACUGUGUAAAUUUGCACAAUCAAUAUCAAGUAAUGCCUGGAUCAGCUUCCUGUGGAACAUUUCAGUUACUCUACACCUGGAAAGCAGUGGCCAGAACAGCCUACUUAAAUAA
rnacentral:lncRNA from 1 species